rnacentral:rRNA from 1 species
GACGAACGCUGGCGGCACGCUUAAUACAUGCAAGUCGAGCGAGAACCUGGCCUUCGGGCCCGGGGAAAGCGGCGAACGGGUGAGUAACACGUGGGUAACCCACCCUUGGUACCGGGAUAGCCCGAGGAAACUCGGAUUAAUACCGGAUGGCCCAACAGCUUCUCGGAGCGGUUGGAAAAGGUAGCUUCGGCCUCCGACCAAGGACGGGCCCGCGGCGGAUUAGCUUGUUGGUGGGGUAAUGGCCUACCAAGGCGACGAUCCGUAGCUGGU